rnacentral:tRNA from 1 species
UAUGAAAUGGCAGAAUUAAUGCCUAAACUUUAAGCGUUUAUCAUGACUUUUAGUCUUUCAUAA